ACAGCGCCACAAAUGAAUUUAUAUUCGGUUUUGUCGCAGUGAAGAACAAACAAGUAAUAUUUCUUCUGUUGGUUGAAUGUUUCUGCUGGAUGUACAAGAGGGACACAUUUGGAUGAUACUGUUCUGUGUCUGGACGAAGUGGUUACAUUAGCCAAACAGGGUGAAGAGAUGAGUGUUAAGGUGAAUUUGAAAGGGUUGCCUUCCCGCAUUCUUGAUGUUGUCCUCAAACCAGAGACCAUUCAGAUUGACAGGUCCUUCCCCAAAUUCAAUGUGGCUCCUUGGGACACUACUCCUAUUGGAGAGGCUGUGAUGCUCCACCUUUCAUAUUACAGAAACCCCAGACUUCACCUCUCAGAGAAAGCAUUGCGCUUAACUUAUCGUCAUGCACGACAGAAC